rnacentral:rRNA from 1 species
CCUACGGGGGACAGCAGUGGGGGAUAUUGGACAAUGGGGGGAACCCUGAUCCAGCGACGCCGCGUGAGUGAAGAAGUAUCUCGGUAUGUAAAGCUCUAUCAGCAGGGAAGAAGAAAUGACGGUACCUGAGUAAGAAGCACCGGCUAACUACGUGCCAGCAGCCGCGGUAAUACGUAGGGGGCAAGCGUUAUCCGGAAUUACUGGGUGUAAAGGGAGCGUAGAUGGCUGGGCAAGUCUGAAGUGAAAGCCCGGGGCUUAACCCCGGAACGGCUUUGGAAACUGAGCAGCUAGAGUGCUGGAGAGGUAAGCGGAAUUCCUAGUGUAGCGGUGAAAUGCGUAGAUAUUAGGAGGAACACCAGUGGCGAAGGCGGCUUACUGGACAGUAACUGACGUUGAGGCUCGAAAGCGUGGGGAGCAAACAGGAUUAGAUACCCGAGUAGUC